UGGCUCAGAACGAACGCUGGCGGCAUGCCUAACACAUGCAAGUCGAACGAAGCCUUCGGGCUUAGUGGCGCACGGGUGCGUAACACGUGGGAAUCUGCCCUUCGGUUCGGAAUAACAGUUAGAAAUGACUGCUAAUACCGGAUGAUGACGAAAGUCCAAAGAUUUAUCGCCGAAGGAUGAGCCCGCGUAGGAUUAGGUAGUUGGUAGGGUAAUGGCCUACCAAGCCGACGAUCCUUAGCUGGUCUGAGAGGAUGAUCAGCCACACUGGGACUGAGACACGGCCCAGACUCCUACGGGAGGCAGCAGUGGGGAAUAUUGGACAAUGGGCGAAAGCCUGAUCCAGCAAUGCCGCGUGAGUGAUGAAGGCCUUAGGGUUGUAAAGCUCUUUUACCAGGGAUGAUAAUGACAGUACCUGGAGAAUAAGCUCCGGCUAACUCCGUG
rnacentral:rRNA from 1 species